GACACUACGAAACAAACAGAUCAUUGUGUUAAUUGCAAUAAAUACGCAUAAAAGCACCUUGUGAUCAUGCUAUUUGUAUGUGCUGGAAGACAACCUACCUCAAAGGAUCAGUGUGGCUCACCCAAAAGGCUUCCCAUCUGAGAAGUCCAUCACUGCAGCCUUUUGAGUUUGUGACAGGCAGUCUGUGGCUCAGGUGGAAUUUACAGCAAACAGCAUAAGGAAGUAACGUGCCAGCAGCUGCCCUCUCUACAGAAACUUGCUGGUGGUUUAUCCAGGACAUUGGGAUAUUCUUGUAUAUCCUGGA